AACCAUGCAAGGACCUAAAAGUUUAAACAUGGGCUCUCAUUUCCCAAGACAGAUAUAUCUCCUUCUGCCAAAAGUUACUUACAAUGAAACCAAGGCUUAGAAGCACUUCCUAAGAAAACCAACUACACAUUUAAUGAAAAAUGGACUAUACUGAAUUCAUCCCAUUCUGGAAGGAUGUGAUCAGAGAGCAGUCUGAAGAAAGUGUGAUCAGGAACUCAAAUCACUGGAGGAUGAGGAUCAAAGUCAUACCACCAGGGCAUCACUGGGAAAAACAAAGAAACAGCCUAAGAGUGAAAGAAUUGUGUAGCAGGAGUGUAAUCAUGAGAUCAACUACAGUUAUUUCAAUAAUUUGAGGCAGCAGGAUGCCUUGGCUUUAAACUUUAGGUAGACACCAUCAUCAUAGUACAUAUGUUGACUAUGUAUUUGCAUAUUAUUAAAGCUGAAUUUAUACAUCUUUGGAGCAAGGAAAA